rnacentral:lncRNA from 1 species
AAAAUAUCUGCCUGGAUUUCAGAAAGGCAUUAUUUUUACCUGAUGUCUUUGAAAGUCAUUUUGUAUUCUCAGUCCACAUUAGAUUUGUGAUUACUGUAUCAGAAGUCAUAAGAAACUGGAAAGAAAGAGUUUGAUCUGUGAUGUGGCCAGUGACAGUCUUGUUUUGUUGAAGAACUCCAGGUACACCUGAUGUAGAAUUUAGGAGUUUGAGUUGCUUUUAUGUUCUAACAACAACAAAAAAGGAGGAUGGCAUUUUUUAAGACUUUUUUUUUUUUUUUUAGUAAAGGAAAAAAAGGUAAGGAUCCUCGGUUCUCAGACAGAAGUAUGAGGAUCUGGACAUUUCAGACGAGAGCUGACUCCCGAGAAAAGAACUAAGGGGUGAAGUUUUUUUUUACCAUUUGAAAGAUGGAUGAUGAUGAUUUUGGAGGAUUUGAGGCAGCAGAGAGCUAUGAGUGUGGAAAUGGUGAAAAGCAGACUACAUCUCCUGCUAUUUCUUGGGCAGCAUUUCCUACAGGUAUUGAUUUAAAAGAAAAAAAAAAUCACUAACGAAAUUCUUAGUAAGGUAUUACUGUCCUGUAUUCAUUGUAAAUACUAGUACCCAGAAGGGGAUAUAAACACGAUAAAAUUGUGGACAGCAGUGAAAGCUAGGCGUAAGAUUGUUCCAGAGUAAUCAUUUUGGGAAGCUGUACUUCUCAAAAUUGCACUUUAAGAAAUAUAAGUGAGAAAAGUACAGUUUAUCCAGUUCAAAGGCUGAUAGGCCCUUAAGACAAUUAGGGAAGAAGAAGAAGAAAUGGAACUGCUCAAAGGAUGUUCUGAAUUUUGAGCAUGGAAAGUCUGUUGGAAGGUUUUUUAAUAUAAAGAGACAUAGAAUGUUAUAAACUAAACUACUUUACAGUUGUAAAACCUAACUUGGUUUCUCUAAAAGAAAAACCCUGUUUGUACCAACGUACAGGUGAAUUAUUAGAUGAUGUUCUAAUUAAAAAUUGUUUAGUCUUAAUCUGCAAAGCAUACUGUAUUCUGAAGUGUCUGAUAUGGUUGAAAUUUUUAUUCCUUGUUUGUUAACACUAAUAUGUGAACCAAAGCUUCUUUAAAACUCAAAGUUCUACUGUGUGAAGUUCUGAGGGAAGGGAAAACAAAUAUGUAUGAAACUUUUUUUUUUUUCUGUAGAUCACACUGAAGUCUAAAGGCAUUCCAAAUUUAGGAAAGAAUGCUAUUCCUCUAUUUGAAAAACAUAGGGAAUCUUUCCUUUGCAAAGACACAAUAUAAUACUUUGUCUAGUAGUUAGAAGUUAAAAUAUUUUUUCUGUUCCAACUUGAGUCUUCUAUGAUUUCGUGAAAUGUAUUCAUUUUAAAUCUCAAAAUUUUCACUAGUGAGAUAUCUUCAGGGUGGAAGAAAAAAAGGUAGGAAAUUAACUUGCUUUAAUAUUAGUUUACACUAAUAAUUUCCACAAAGUUUUAAAUAAAGAAAAACUAUAGAAUAAGUCA